GUCCCUCCAUCUGCUGAAAUGUCUCUUGUUCAGUGAAUUUAUCUUAAAUCAAGUGGGAUGAGACAUUUUGACCAAAAAUAAGACACAUAGACUUGGUAGGAUUUAGAGUUUUUGCAGUUCUCGGCCAGACUGGUUGAAUAUUCCACGCACCAAUAUCAAAUUCUGUCCUUCGUAUCUGAUUUUUUCUCUUCUAACCUUUAUUUCCCUUUCUGCCUUAACCUCCAACAUCCCCUGAUUAUCAGCGAGAGCGCCGAUGGCUCAACUUGCUGCUGAGAUUUCUCCUUUCUAACCGUCUGAUUGCCUCAGCCAGAGCUGCUCCAGCGACUGUUGUCAGUGUGAGUUUUUGUCAACGCUGCUCGAAGCGUUUUGCUGUUAAUUAUUUAAAUAGUUUGUGCCUGCAGUGACGUGACUCGUGUCGUAGAUGUAGGAAAGCUGAUUCUGAUUUCACUUCAUCAUGCAAACUUUCACCCGUCCAGAUAUUAAAGGAAUCGGUUACGUUGAGUUGAAUAAAUGGCCACUACAGCUCAAACACAUUUAAAUAAUGCGGUAUUUAACAUUUCUUCAGAGUUUGGAUGAAUUUUAAAGGACUACAUUGAUUUAUUUGAACAGUUUUUUCAUCAGUCGGUUUACUCGAUAUAAAAGAGCACCAGUUCCAUCAUUAGAGUCUGUCUCCAGUAGAUCUAUCGUGCAUCUUCCGUGCACGCAGGCAGCUACCAUUACACUACAAAUCACUACAGCAGAUGUGACAGUAAACAGCUGAAACCUGUGAACACAUGGAAUCUUUUUACUGCUGAAAAAACAACCGUGCUGUCCGGUGGGAUCGGUCUAAAUCUAGAUUUACCUUUAACCCUCCUGUCGUCCUCAUCUAUUUUAUUUUUUUAAUUUUAUUAUCCCUUAUUAAUCCUACAAGGGAAAUUCUGAUUUUUGCAUAUCCCUUCAAUUUGGGGGUCAGAGCGCAGGGUCAGCCGCGGUACAGCGCCCCCUGGAGCAGGAAGGGUUAAGGGCCUCGCUCAAGGGCCCCACAGUGGCCACAUCGGGGUUUGAACCUCUGACCUGAUCAGUAGUCCAGAGACUUAACCGUUGCACCACCACUGCACCAUUUAUGGGCACCAAAAAAUACUGUUUCCUUGUCUGAAAAAAAAUCAAAAAAUUCAGCCAAAAAAAUUCCAAUAAUUCCUUAAAUGUUUCCCUUAAAAGUUUUAUUUUUUUUAAAAAUCCCCCAAAUUUGGCAAGAAAAUUCUUGUAAAUAUUUUUCAAAAAAUGAGUAAAAAUCUUCUUAAAAAAAAAUCCUAAAAAUAUCUAAAGUGAUUCCAUAUAUGUCAGUAAAACUUGUAAUAUUUUCUUUAAGAACAUUCACAUAAAAAUCAACCAAAAUCCAGUGAAUUUCGCUGGAUUUUGUUAGAUAUUUUUGUGAAUGUUCUUAAGAAACAUUUUUAACAUUUCUUUUUUUCCCCAACAAAAAAGUUUCAAAGAUUUCCCAAAAAUGUUGAAAAUGUUGACAUCAGAAGUUUCACUGUGAAAAUAUAUAUUUUUUCCACAUUUUCAAACUUUAAAACGGGUCAAUUUUGACCCACAGGACGACACGAGGGUUAAAACCAUCCAGACAGUCCAGGAGAUUGUCAGAAUCAGAAUGUUUAGUGGAAAAUAAAACUAUUUCUUUGUGUCUGCUAUUCUACGGUUGCAGGUUGAGAUACCAGCAAACACUGCCAAAACAUAACACCAACUAACAACUAAUACAAGCGUUUUAUGUAACCAGCCUUCAUUUAUUUUCUUCACCAGCAUCUCUAAUCUCAUUUAUCACUUCACCUCUCCAGACUGUCGACCAGUCAGCUCUACUAACCCGCUCUGAGCACUUCCUUACAGUCUUACUAUACAUUAUUCAUAUUCAUGCCGGCUGGUGAUGGUUAUUGAGCAUUCUACACAUGAAAUACAGAGAAAAAGUGUCUUCGAUGCAUGUUGGGAAACAAAACCAGUGUGUAAAACUGUCAAAGUUUAGUCUAAACCAGGGGAGUCAAAUUCAUUCUAGUCCAGGUUCCACAUUGAGCCCAGUCUGAUCUCCAGUGGACCGGACCAGUAAAACCACAGCAUAAUAACCUGUAAAUAACCACAACUCCUAAUGGUUCCUUUGUUUUAGUGCAAAAAUGUUCAUUCUGAAAAUGUUCACAUUUAAGGAAUUAUCUUUUUGCAAAACAUGACCAACCUGAACAUAAAUUCAAUUUCAUCAACACAGCCUCAGUUUAUCAUUUCCACAUUACAACUUCCAGAUCACAGAUUGUCUACAAAGGAACACAACAUUUAGUCACCUGGAACUGAACCAGAGAGGAUUUUACUUUAUGAUCACAGCAACAAAAGUCAGACAAGAAAGACAAAAAACAACAAAACCAAGACAAAAUAUUACAAAAAUGAGACGCAAAAUGACAAAACAUGAGACAAACGACACGAAACAAAACACAAGAGACAAAAAAAUAGACAAAAAUGUUACAAAGCAUCUAAAAAAACGGACAAAUUUCACAAACGAGACCAAAAAAUAUGACAAAAAACACAAGCGAAACAAAAAGGAAACACAACAAAAGUCAGAAAAAGACAAAAAACAAAAACGACAAAAUAUUACAAAAAAUGAGACACAAAACAACAGCACAAUGAAGAAUCUAGUAUUUUACUUUCUGACCCAAACAACUUGUCAUGGUCUAGAAAUGAUUUUAAAUUUAUAGUUUUACUAAUUUACAAUCUGCAGUUAAUGUCUUCUCUGGAAUUUUUACACUUUGAGGGCCGGAUUGGACCCUCUGGAGGACCGCUUUUGGCCCGUGGACCACAUGUUUGACUCCCCUGGUCUAAACUUCUAAAAGAAGCUCAAACUGUCGCAGGUCCUGAGGAUUCCUUUGGAAAAACGUGCUGAUUAUUUUAAAGCUGUCUGUAAAUGAAGCCGUUACCGAGCAUCGCCUCUCACUCGUUCUCUCUCUUUAUUUCUAAAUCAAAUCCAAAUGAAUAAAUCUGGCCUCUUUUAAGCAGGAAGUAAAGCUGUCUGUGAGGUCUAACGGUCUGUUUUCAUGUGAAAAAAUAAAAAAAGUUUUUCUCAUGCCAUAGAGCUCUGCUAUGGAUCUGAAAGGUAACAAAAAAAAAUCUUUUCUUGUUUGUACAGUGUUCCUCCUUCUUUAGACUGCAAGCUGUAGUACACUGUGAACGUGUGAAUCCAUUGUGUCCUUUUGUCAUAGAGUCGAGCGGAUAGUUUGAUUGUGGAGAGACGUAGCCGGUAGUUUGUGACGGAAACUUUCCAACGUACAGAAGAAGUCUGACAGCAGCGAACUGGAAAGACACAGUGCCUUUGAAUAAGAAAACUGGUUCCAUUCCUCUCAGUGUCUGCAUUAAAAGUUUCACACCUCCAUCGUCCUGACGGUUUUUUCUUUUUAACACUUUUUCAUGGUUGUAAAAUUAGCAAAGCUUUGUUUCAACUGUCUCAUGCUCUGAGUGGACGUUUCAGUGUGUUUCCUGUACAUAGAUAUAUAUUCGGUUCUUCACACUUUCCUUGUUAAAUGAUGCUUUAUUACAAUUUGGAUCGUAUAUAUGUGGAUUUAAGCAUCAUUUCUGUUAUUAUGAUAUAAGUUAUACACAGAUGAUUUAUGUCUGGAGAUUGGAAAUGCUUAAAUGCAUGAACUUAAGUAGGUUUGAAGUCGUAUAAAAGAUGCUAAAAUAAGACCCAAGUUGUAAUAAACAGGAUUUAAAAGAAUAAAAGCUCGCAUCACAUGACAUCAAAGUCCAUCGACUCUUUGCUCAGGUCCCAUAUUCUCUAAAAUAUCUGAAAUAGUUCAAUUUGUCUGGAGCAAGCAUGCGGAAAUAUAUUCCAGAUGGAUAUGAUGUUUCUGUGGAGAAAAUAAUGAAGACUUCAUGAUCUGUAUUUUUUCCUGUGUUGUGUAACUUGUCCUGUUUCUCAAAUUCUGCUUCAAAAGAAACCUGUUUGUUUUUUCUCACGGAGCUCUGAAAUGUAAUAAAGGAAAAAAGGGAGAAGAAUCGUAAGAAAACUUCACUGUUUCUGCUGAAAUAUAGUGUGAAAAUAUACAACGGAUGACAUUUCUCUUGUUUGUUUCGUCUUGAAAAAUAG
ensembl:lncRNA